rnacentral:rRNA from 1 species
CACCAGCCCCUCGAGUGGUGGGGAUGAUUAUUUGGCCUAAAGCGUCCGUAGCCGGCCGGGUAAGUUUCCCGUUAAAUCCAGCGUCUCAAGCGUUGGACUGCGGGAAAUACUGCCUGGCUAGAGAGUGGGAGAGGUGUACGGUAUUCUGGGGGUAGGGGCGAAAUCCUUUGAUCCCCGGAGGACCACCAGUGGCGAAGGCUGUACACUAGAACACGUCUGACGGUCAGGGACGAAAGCUGGGGUAGCGAACCGGAUUAGGUACCCGGGUAGUCCCGGCUGUAAACGAUGCAUGCUAGGUGUUGGGUUGGCCACGAGCCACCCCAGUGCCGCAGGGAAGCCGUUAAGCAUGCCGCCUGGGAAGUACGAUCGCAAGAUUGAAACUUAAAGGAAUUGGCGGGGGAGCACCACCAGGCGUGAAGCCUGCGGUUU